rnacentral:rRNA from 1 species
CUGGCUCAGAACGAACGGCUGGCGGCGAUGGAUUAGGCAUGCAAGUCGAACGGUGUAGCAAUACACAGUGGCGGAAGGGUGAGGAACACGUGAAUAAUCUGCCCUCAAGUUGGGAAUAACUUUCCGAAAGGAAAGCUAAUACCGAAUGUGGUUGUUUUAUCGCAUGAUAGGACAACUAAAGAUUUAUCGCUUGAGGAUGAGUUCGCGUCCCAUUAGCUAGUUGGCGGGGUAACGGCCCACCAAGGCAGAGAUGGGUAGCUGGUCUGAGAGGAUGAUCAGCCACACUGGGACUGAGACACUGCCCAGACUCCUACGGGAGGCUGCAGUCGAGAAUCUUUUGCAAUGCGCGAAAGCGUGACAAAGCAAUGCCGCGUGCCGGAUGAAGGUCUUCGGAUUGUAAACGGCUGUCACUCGGGACGAAAAAUGACGGUACCGAGGGAGGAAGCCACGGCUAACUACGUGCCAGCCGCCGC